rnacentral:hammerhead_ribozyme from 1 species
AUCUAACUGACGUGUCUCGAAUGGGACGAAACGCGCGUCAAGGAU